rnacentral:rRNA from 1 species
AUGAACUUGGACCUCAUGCUGAGAUGGGUCUGGCAGAUUCUACGCGGCGAGGGAGGGUUAUGGCUGCAGCUCAUUCAGGCAAAAUACCUUAGGGGAGAACCGCUCUUGGCUUGCUCCCGGACAGAUGGCUCACAAUUCUGGCGAGCCAUCCAAAGGAUCAAGGAGGACAUCCGCUUAGGGAUUUCCUUCUCCUUAGGGAAUGGACACGGGAUCCAAUUC